rnacentral:miRNA from 1 species
AUCACUAACUAAACUGCCAUC